CACGUAGUUGGCCGGUGCUUCUUCUGCAGGUACCGUCACUUGCGCUUCGUCCCUGCUGAAAGAGGUUUACAACCCGAAGGCCGUCAUCCCUCACGCGGCGUUGCUGGAUCAGGCUUUCGCCCAUUGUCCAAUAUUCCCCACUGCUGCCUCCCGUAGGAGUCUGGGCCGUGUCUCAGUCCCAGUGUGGCCGGUCACCCUCUCAGGCCGGCUACCCGUCGUUGCCUUGGUAGGCCAUUACCCCACCAACAAGCUGAUAGGCCGCGAGCUCAUCCUCCACCGCCGGAACUUUCCACCACCAUCAGAUGCCUGAAGUGGUCGUAUCGGGUAUUAGCCACCGUUUCCGGUGGUUAUCCCCGUGUGAAGGGCAGAUUGCUCACGUGUUACUCACCCGUUCGCCGCUCGUGUACCCCCGAAGGGGCCUUACCGCUCGACUUGCAUGUGUUAAGCACGCCGCCAGCGUUCGUCCUGAGCCAGGAUCGAAACUCU
rnacentral:rRNA from 1 species